UCUUCCUUCCUCCACCCGGACUGGCUGCAAUCUGCACGGCCGCACAGAUUCGUCGCACCGACCGUGUGCCUGCGCGUCUCUCCCCGCAACAACUCUCACUUCGCCCCGCUCCUUCUCCAAAUCCCCAAGCCAGAUGGCGGCGUGCGUUAACGAACCCCUUUCAACGUUCGGCUCAAAGUCCUAGUGACAAAAUAUGUCUGAGGAAAACCCCUUGCUGGAGGGGGAAAGCCAAGAAACUGUCAAAUGCAGAAAGAGAAAUUUGGAGCAGCAACAGUUUUUUCUGAAGUCCAUCUGGAAGAUGCUGGCAUGAAGCAGAAAGGUGAUACACAGUUGAAUGUGUCCAUAAAGAAUGGAAUGUUUGUUGGAUGCUGACUCCUUCACUGAUGCAAGUUACCACCUGACGCUGAAGUCAUUGGCCUUAAAUGGUCAUCUUCCUUACUCUCUACAGCAGCCCAGAAGAAUGCUAUGGUCAACACUAUUGAAGGCUAGCAAGAGGCCUAGCAGGAUAAGGUUGGCUGUGUUCCCACUAUCCAUGCCUCAUCACAAGUCACCAAUAAGAGUGACCAAUGAGGUUUCCAUUGCAUAACCCAGCCUGAAUCCCGACUAGCAGGGGUUCAGAUGAUCCAGAUGAGCCCUCUGUAGUAUUUACCCUACCAGUUUCUCCACAUCCUUCCCCCAGAAGAAGAGACUGGAUGUGACUCUCUACUUGCCCAGCACUGUUCAAUCAAGAGCAGGCUCCUUGAGAAUGGGGUGGACUAGGCCCUCUUUCAGAGUAGCUGGAACCUCCCCCUCCAGCAACCAGGCAUUGGCUACAGCCCAGAACCAACUUCCAGUUCCCUGCCAUGCCACUUUCACUAGCCAUGAGUGGCAGAGCUCACAUCCCCCCAAUUACAUUGCAAGACAUUUCCUGUGUUAUCUCCUCCCCAUCUGGGUUUCAACUUGGAGCAAAUGUAACUGAUUUUAUCCACAAAAUGACUGUCCAGUUGAUCACACCCUGCCCAUGGUGGAUCUUCUGCCCAUCCUUCCCUUGUAUGGUCUGGACUACUCUAAACAGUGCAGCUGGCCAGCAUUCCGCAGGUACAAUAAGGGUAGAGAAGUAAUUCUGCUUUGCUAUCCUGAUUGCCACUGAGUAGACUCAAAUGUAGGGUUGUAUCUGUGUCUAAUAGUAUUGACAUCUCAUUUUCUGCUAGUAUCUCUCCGGCCAUCACUUCACCCACUUUAUUUCCUGAAGCUCUUAAGUAAGUCAAAGCGCCUCUCAGAAUUGGUAGGUGGGGAGAGGACAUUCAGGCACUCAAGUGCCUGAGUUGCUUCCAUUGUUUAGAGCUGGCCUGCAUAACAUAUGGCCCAUGGGUGCAUGUGGCCUGCCAAGCAGCCUUGUGUGACCUGUCAGUAUUUUUUUAAAAAGUCAAUAAAUUCACCACCGUCACCCUGAAAUGCACACUGCUGAGCACCUCCAACAUCACCAGGCCUCACUGCUAUCAGCAGCUCUAGUGCUGUGCUGCUCCUCUAGCUGCUAAAGAACUGCUUGAUGCACCAGGAAUUCCUUUGUGGCCCACGAUUAUUUUUAAUUUUUCAAUAUGGCCCUUUCCUGUCUACAGGUCAUGCAGGCAUAGAGGCUAACCAGAUAUCUAACAGUACCGCCCUCCAGGUUACUGGAAAAUUCCCCAUGCACUCUGGAUCCAUCAGGUGCCUGGGGUGGGCCACCUUAAUCAGCCAAGCCUCCCUGCAUUACAAGUCAGUCUAAGACAAAUGAUUGAUGAAAACUUCUACAGAACCAGAUCUGGUGUCAUCUGGUCUGAGUUAAAAAUCAGAGCUAAUGCAUGGCCAAUAAUGUGGAUCAGACUAAUGAUGAUCUAGGAUCAGCCCAUGGAUGCCAUGGUGGCCAUCAUCUCAAUCCCCAGAGAGAGGAGUUUGACAUUGCUCAGAACAAUUAGCUUGGGUGAAUCUACCACCACCACUGUUAUUACUAAGCGAGAUCUCAGUUCUCUCAGUACUAAUACUUAUGUAGAGAGAAGGAAACACUGACAUGUGCAAAGAAGUACCACAAAUAAAAUAAUAAUAAAAUAAAAUAUAAAAUAAAAUAAAACCUAAGGGAGAGAGAAACCUUCAGGAGAAAAAUCCAAAACAGGAGAAUAUGUUUUACAUGUAUUCAGUGGCCAUGAAAUGCUGACACAAAGCUGGUGGGUCAUUAAAAAGAAAAGUGGGUGGUGGGUGGAAGGGAAUAGAAGCAUUGUAGGGAAAAUGUUUAGCACUGCAAAAUUUGCUGCAGAUCUCAUAUAUACUAAUUGGAAACUCAAGCACUUGCUUACAGUUUGGCUGUGUAGCUAAAUGAGGACUACCAACAAAGAAGGAGGUGCAACAAAACACAGAGGAUGUUUUGAGGACAAUGAUGAGCAGAAAUAGAAGGAAAAAAUAUUUAGGAACACCUUGGGAGUAAUAAAUGCAAAUAAACAAAGGACCAAACUGCCCAGGGGAGGCCGGACACUCGUUCACACCCAGACAAGGAAGACGAGAUUGGCUUAUAUCCUGAUACCUGACCAGGCAUUGAUGCAGAGCGGGGGGGGGGGGGGAUUUUUUUUUCUCAAAGUGGCACGUGGAGAUGUUGAAAGUGUGCUUGCCAGCCAUGCAUUAAGGUCAGUUCAGAGCCACUGUUUAAAUAGCCUGCAGCUGAAAACUGUAUCACUUUGCCUCUCUUGUGAAUGCUUUUCCUUGCCUUCUCUCUGGUCCUGCAGUUUCCUCCUUUCCCCCCUUCCAGCCUGGGAGAUGGUGCCAUGAGCUCAGAGGGAGGUGAAAGCGAGGAGAUGCAGGCGAAAGAGCCCUACUUCAGCAGUUCCUUCUCUUUGGCAUGCAGGAUCUUUUUACAUGAGCGCAAGCCAAGUCAGUAUUGAUCAAUGUCAACUCCUCCUUGAACAAAGUCUCCAGAGACUGGGAGGAAAGACAGGCCUUUUGUCCUUUUUAAAGUGUUCUGUGAAAGAAUUGCUGGGGAGUUGAAUUCAGCAGGAGCCCUUGUUACAGGAUGUGCUCCUGAGCAUAUGCAGAGGGCUCCAAGAACACCAACUAAUGAAGUUGCAUCUGGUCCCAUUUCAAAAGAGUGAUAUGUGUAUGAGCUGAGGCCAGCUAUACAUGAAUGCUAGCAGACAUUCAUUGCAUCUGAAGGACAAAGCAAAUUUAUUACGAAACAAACAGGACUG